UAGAGUUUGAUCCUGGCUCAGAACGAACGCUGGCGGCAGGCUUAACACAUGCAAGUCGAGCGCCCCGCAAGGGGAGCGGCAGACGGGUGAGUAACGCGUGGGAACGUACCCUUUUCUACGGAAUAACGCAUGGAAACGUGUGCUAAUACCGUAUGUGCCCUUUGGGGGAAAGAUUUAUCGGAAAAGGAUCGGCCCGCGUUGGAUUAGCUAGUUGGUGGGGUAAAGGCCUACCAAGGCGACGAUCCAUAGCUGGUCUGAGAGGAUGAUCAGCCACAUUGGGACUGAGACACGGCCCAAACUCCUACGGGAGGCAGCAGUGGGGAAUAUUGGACAAUGGGCGCAAGCCUGAUCCAGCCAUGCCGCGUGAGUGAUGAAGGCCCUAGGGUUGUAAAGCUCUUUCACCGGUGAAGAUAAUGACGGUAACCGGAGAAGAAGCCCCGGCUAACUUCGUGCCAGCAGCCGCGGUAAUACGAAGGGGGCUAGCGUUGUUCGGAAUUACUGGGCGUAAAGCGCACGUAGGCGGAUCGAUCAGUCAGGGGUGAAAUCCCAGAGCUCAACUCUGGAACUGCCUUUGAUACUGUCGAUCUGGAGUAUGGAAGAGGUGAGUGGAAUUCCGAGUGUAGAGGUGAAAUUCGUAGAUAUUCGGAGGAACACCAGUGGCGAAGGCGGCUCACUGGUCCAUUACUGACGCUGAGGUGCGAAAGCGUGNGGAGCAAACAGGAUUAGAUACCCUGGUAGUCCACGCCGUAAACGAUGAAUGUUAGCCGU
rnacentral:rRNA from 1 species